AAAAAAUAUUGAAGGAGUCGGCCAAUAUAAAAAAUAACCCCUCUUGUUCAUUCAGCAGUCCAAGAAAAAAGAGGCCCAGGAAAUCACGUAUACUUGACAUUACUUCGACGCAACUUAAAGAAAUUAGGAGCAUAGUUAAUGAUUUUUAUAUAGUGGAAAAAAGAAGGCCUACUCUCAAGUGUACGUAUUUACCUUUAUUGUGCUUUUUUAAUUUUAAUCCUAUUUUUUAUUAGCAGUAAUCCUACAAAAGAUCAUUGACCGAUCUGUUAUUCAUGAGCCUCUGAGUAUACCAUCCUUAGCAAAACUACUAAAGAGCAUUGGAUUUAGAUGGAAGAAGACAGAUGAUAAUAGAAAGGCCUUGAUGGAAUCAUAUGACAUACGUUUGAAGAGAAUAAAAUACUUAAAACAAAUUACCGAAUUUAAAAAUCAAGGUAGAAAUAUAGUGUAUACUGACGAAACCUAUAUACACAGUAGUCAUACUUCUGACAAAGGUUGGUUUGACGAAAGCCUAAGCGGUAUACGAAAACCCAUUUCAAAAGGACAGCGAUUAAUCAUCGUUCAUGCUGGAUGAAAAAAUGGUUUUGUUAAAGACGGUCUACUUAUAUUCCGCUCAGGUUCUAAAAGUGGCGAUUACCAUGACGACAUGAAUCAUGAAAAUUUCAUGAAAUGGGUGGAAACCCAAUUACUUCCGAAUUUGCCACCAAAUUCGGUCUUAGUUUUGGACAAUGCAUCAUACCAUAAUGUACAAGUAAAAAAGAAUGUUACCUCAGGAAGUAAGAAACAACUCAUAAUUGAUUGGCUUAAGGAGCAUAAUUUAGAACAUGACGAGAAAAUGACAAAAACGGAACUUUAUGAAAUAGUUCUUCAAAAUAAAAGAUUUUAUCCAAUAAAGUGCAAACUUGACGAACUAAUGGAAAGUCACGGACACUCAACUUUGCGUUUGCCUCCAUACCACCCAGAAUUGAACCCCAUUGAAAAAAUCUGGGCCACUGUUAAAAACUGGGUAGCAAGCAGGAACACAACUUUUAAGUUAGCAGAUGUAGAAGCUUUGACGAGGCAAAAAUUUGCAGAAGUAUCUGUCGAUGAUUGGAGAAGCAUUUGUGACCAUGUCGACAAAAUUGAAGACAAAUAUAUAAAAGAUCAUAAUCUUUUUGAUAAAACUUUAGAUUCC